UUAAUUGAAACCAAAUAGAGGUUUAUCACUGUUAAUGAUAUAAUUGAACUAAUUAUUCCAAUUAAG
rnacentral:tRNA from 1 species